AAUUAUGGGUAAUGACGUUUUUUAACGUCAGUCGUUUAACGGCAGUUUAAGAGAAAGAAGCAUAUAGAAAACUACAAGUACCAUUCUUACUUAGCGCGGGGGGUGUGACGUUGAAUCGUAGGAUCAUGUGAGAGGAAAAAUGUUUGGACAAAAAAAAAAUCUUUGGACUUUUAUCAGCUUGUUUGGCUACAGACUGAGAGAUUGUCCUGUGUACCAUGACGUGGUUCAGUGUGGAGUUUCUGAUUGCACAACUGAGUGCAGGAGGAAUGCAGCUGCCCUCAAGAGAUUUUACUGCUUUUUUUUACUCCUGUUGUUGUGUGUUGUUGUUGUUGUUGUUGUUGUGUGUGUGUGUGUGUGUGUGUGUGUGUGUGUGUGUGUGUGUGUGUGUGUGUGUGUGUGUGUGUGUGUAAUAUGCCUGUUUUAGAAGACAAUUACUGUCAGGAAACUUAUUGUAAUGUUUUUGGUGCUCAGCUCACAGUAUUCACGUCUGAGUGUCUACAGGCCCAACCAUGUAAUGGACCUUAAUUGUGUUGCAAUAGGAUCUUUGUGCCACUUAUUUAAUAACAGUUUUCCUGAAGGUCAUUGUGUGGUCAGUUUGAUUAGCAUAAUUGUACCUCUGUUCUUCAUUCUAGAAUUUUAUUUAUGCCUAACCCAACGUUGAACACAAAAACAGACCCGGUGAAAGCGGAAAAUAGUUAAAAUAAAAAAAGAAAUGUUGAUUUCUAACAAAUGUAGAGUGAACAAAUAAAUCAAACCAAUCAUUUCUGCACACACACAAGCAGGUUGAAAAAGGUUUUAAAUAAAAUGGGCAGCACAAUGAUUACACAAUGAUAACAAUGAUUUUGUCCUAAUAUAUUCAUCUGUGAAAUAGCAUUUUUAUUUGUUUGUUUAUUAUUGCUGUUGUGUCAUUGUAUAAUGUGGGUUUAUGGUGUAAUUCUAUAUGAUCACUAAUAGCCACUGGGGUAAAAUGAAUUAUUACUCAGCAAGAAUCCUAUGACAGCUUGAAGACCCACAGCACUGCUCUCUCCAGUGCUCUCCAGAAUGAUUAAUGUCCUUGGCUGUAAAACACAUCUGAAUUCAGAAACUUCAUUUUCAUAACCAACAGAGCCUUUGGGGACAAUAAUUCUGACCCUUGUUUUUUUUUUUUUUUUUUAUCAAUUGAUUAAAACAGGAUUUAAGUGCCAUAAUAAAGGCAGAAUGGGUGUCUCCUGAGGCAUACAAUAAGUACUUAAAAUCAAGGAAGUAAAGUCAAAGAAAAUGUGUAUACAUGGAUAAAAAUAAAUAAAAAUGAAAAGCAUACA